GGGGCUUGUGUGAACCACACUUGCCAGAGAGCUGCCAGUAGCAAGACCAAUUGCUAAAACUUUGUUGUGAAAUAUAUUGUCUGAAUUUUGUGUCUUGAAAAUGAAAUAAAACUUUCAACAACGGAUCUCUAGGCUCUUGCAUCGAUGAAGAACGCAGUGAAAUGCGAUAAGUAAUGUGAAUUGCAGAAUCUCGUGAAUCAUUGAAUCUUUGAACGCACAUUGCGCCCUAUGGUAUUCCAUAGGGCAUACCUGUUUGAGCGUUAGCUCCCCACCCUUCUCAAGCAUUAUUUUAUAAUGUUUGGAUUUAUUUGGAGAGGCACCUCUGUCAUGGAGGUACCCUUCAGAAAUGAAUAUGGCAGUAUAGUUUAUAUCUGAACUAGGCGUAAUAAUAAUAAAGUCGCUGAGUUUAAUCAUAUUUAUACUUGCCUGAACCCACCCAUUGUUAAAUCGGGUAACCUCAAAUCAGGUAGGGAUACCCGCUGAAC
rnacentral:rRNA from 1 species